AUGGCGGCCGAGAAGCUCGUCACCUCCGUGGACUUCGAGGACGACGUGAUCACCGCCACCGUCACGUCCUCCGGCGACGCCGUCAAAGCCUGGCUCCGCCAGAUCCGCUACGUCUACCGCUGGGUCUACCACAAGCUCAUCGUGGGACUGGACGUCGAGUGGCGCCCCAGCUACGGCCGCGCGCAGAACCCCGUCGCGCUCCUGCAGCUCUGCGUCGGCCGCCGCUGCCUCGUCUUCCAGCUCCUCCACGCCGACUUCGUCCCGCGGGCCCUCCACCGCUUCCUCGCCAACCCGGACUUCCGAUUCGUCGGCGUCGGCGUGCAGGACGACGCCGACCGCCUCAGCAACGACUACGGCCUCGAGGUCGCCAACGCCGUCGACCUGCGCAACCUCGCGGCCGACGAGAUGCGCAGGCCGUGGCUCCGCCAGGCGGGGCUCAAGGGCGUCGCGGGCGUCGUCAUGGGGGCCAACCUCAACAAGCCACGCAGGGUCAGGAUGGGGCCGUGGGACGCCUGCCGCCUCUCCCAAGAGCAGAUCCAGUACGCCAGCAUCGACGCCUUCGUCUUAUUUGAGGUCGGCCGGAAGCUCCUCACCGGCGACUACUCCUCCGAAGAGGAGGACUACUGA
rnacentral:rRNA from 1 species